rnacentral:lncRNA from 1 species
UUGACCAAAGCCCUAUGGGCCUUGUUUGAUUUCCCCAGGACUGGGCAACCCUGUCAAGGCGGUGGCCUCUGAGUCCCUGUCUCUGUGAGGUGAAUUUCGAUGAGGGGGCUUUAAGAGAAAGAAAGGCCCCCUCAGACAGAACCUCUGCACUGUGUGCUCUCUCUGUCAUACAGGCCUGGCAGGGAACGUGACUUCUUCAUGAAUGGAGAGUGGACAAACACGGCUUUGAGGUCUUUUUUUCUCUCUCCUUGUCCUAGUGUGGGGAUAGUUGUGCAGGUUUGAGGCUGGUUGAUACUUCUGGACAACGCAGGGUGAAAGGGGAAGAGGGUCUGUGUUGUGUGGCUUCUGAUGAGGCAGGGGGCACAUUGACUGGAAUGAAUACAAGUAACAGCAACUGUUUCUAUUUUCUAGAUUGGGAAUUCUGGUUUAUAUACUGCUAAAGUUCCCUUUUGCAAACGCUUAUUAAACAUUUAUUUUAUGCCAUUUUGCUCACUUUUCCAUAUUACCCUGAAAUACAGCACUUCAUAUUUGUUGAAUAGAAUAAUAUGUAUCGACAGUUCACAUAGGCAACCCUCCACAAACAGCACAUUGACCCGAGGCUGCAGAAGCUGUCACACAGAGUUCAUACAUAUAGAGAAUAAUGUACAUUGUGAAGCUGCAAUAACAUCACUAUGGCAACUACUGUACAGCAAGGUUCCAGGGGCUAGAGAACAGCUCUACACAUCAUUCCUUCUGUGUUACAGGUUAACCGUGGAAAACCAUCCCAGCAAUAAUUCAUGAUGCAGUAAGGAGCCACGAUCCCACUUUUUAUAAACCAGGUCCGCUUGAGAAGACACAGAUUUGUAAAUGAAUGCAUCAGCACCCACGCACCUACCCACCCACACGCAAACACACACACACACCAACACACACACACACGCAAACACACACAAACACACACUACAGGAGCAGGGAAUUCACAAGCCAGUUGAUUUUACCCCCUAAUUACAAGAUUAUUUCAUCUGCGGGUCCAGGAUGUCAGGCAGUUAUUGAGGCAGAAGGACACGACCUCCUCUCUGAUUGCAGGGACGAUCCAGCUACGGCCGCUCAUUCGUUUGGCGCACACACCUGUGCCAAUACUGUGGUAAUACUAAACCCAUUACACAACGCAAUGACAUAUCACCAUCGACAUCUUUCAGCUUCUGGAACACACACCCCAAAUAACUGUUGUACUAUAUGAUAUGACACCAUGCCAUACCAUAUCACAGGAUUGUUAUAUUUCAAAGCUGAGGAAGGAACUUCACUCAUUGAUCCUAGAGGAAGAUAUUGCAGCCAACAUGGAACAGUGUGAAUCCACAGAGAGCAGAGCACAAUCUCUGGAUGAGAGACAGAGAAGUUCUGGGCACAAAUCAACCCAAACUUUCUGUCUGCGGCAGCGGGAGCUUCCAUUUGUAAGUCAUGUCUUUUAUGGAGGGACAUAAAAGGAGGAGUGUGGAGGGAGAGAUAGAAACAGAGGGGUGUUGGGGGAUUUAAAAAAACACCCUGCUGGGUUCUCACAGAGAAGGACCAGACAGCCGGGUCAUGUUGUAACACACUCCGGAAAAUGUCCAAGUGUCAUGUCAGGCGACGGGGGCGUCUCUCUGGCCAUGGCUCAGCGGGAGUGAGACAUCCCACCACAGCUGCACUUCCUCAUCAGUGGAUGAAGAUGCGUGUGGAGUUGACAGAGAUAAAGCGAUAGGAAACGAUGGUUGGUUCUCAAUAGAAUGCUAAGGGUUUCGCAUCAUUUAGUAGUUAGACAAAAGCUCUCUCUUUAGGGAAAUAGCGAAAGCAGCAUGCCAUGUACAGUAAAAACAAUAUAUUCAUCAAUAUUAAUGAUAAUACAUUGCUGCCUCCAUGGGUGUCUAAAUCUUGUUGAAUAAUUCAACAAAAUUUGUUCCAGCUCAUCAUCACGACUUAACACUCUCCCACAUUUCCCGACCCUGAAACAGGUUUCUGGCUAGCCUACCAUUAGAGAUUUCCUUACGUGAUAUGAAGCAGAGGGAGCCCUGCAUGGCAAUGCUAAUCAGUUUAAGGGUUUUGACACCGCUGUCAACAUCAUUAGCCAGUCUUAUUCAGAUCCCUUGCGUGUCGACUCUAAAUUAUACAUCAUGAGGUUCAGUCAAGGUAUUCAGUGGAGCUGUCACGAAGAUGACUCCCAGGUCCACGGAGGGACGUCACUAUGCCAACCUCUUGCCUUAAUUAGACGGUCUUGGCCCAUUCCAGGAAGUCCCCAUAGUACCUUUACAUAAUCUCUUCAGCAUGCUGGAGGUGUGUAGCAACAGUGUAGCAGGCAGUGACUCUGCUGGAACGUCACCACAGGCAUCCUCCAUUGCCUGGAGACGGGCCAGACGGAGAGAUGGAGAUGGGCAGUGAUGUAUGGUCCAAGGGUGGCAUGGAGGUGGAGGACCCCAUUGUGGCUCAUAGCUGCGCAUACGGUGACAUUUCCCCCGCGCUGGCCGGGUACCUCAAUGAUGGCACGUUGACCAAUAACGUUCCUUCCUCUCCUCCUCGUCUUCGCUGAAUCCAGCCUCAUCUAUGAAUAUGAAUUCCUGGGGGAUGGGACUUGCAUCCAACUCCAUGAUUCUCUGAAAUGACAGUAAAUACUGUAAUUGCUGUAUAGUAAAGUUCACUGGCA